rnacentral:rRNA from 1 species
UACGUAGGGGGCUAGCGUUGCUCGGAAUGACUGGGCGUAAAGGGCGCGUAGGCGGCUUGCACCGUCAGAUGUGAAAUUCCUGGGCUUAACCUGGGGGCUGCAUUUGAUACGUGUGGGCUUGAGUGCGGAAGAGGGGCGUGGAAUUCCCAGUGUAGAGGUGAAAUUCGUAGAUAUUGGGAAGAACACCGGUGGCGAAGGCGGCGACCUGGUCCGUGACUGACGCUGAGGCGCGAAAGCGUGGGGAGCAAACAGG